rnacentral:rRNA from 1 species
CGUUCAGGGGUAAACCUGCGAAACUCGAAUGAACGAACGGAGAGAUUCAUCGUCAUUCGGCGGCGUACGGGCGUGCGCCUCGAUGUGUGUCGAUCGUUUCGGCGAUUCGGCGCGCACGGGACACGUCCGUCGACGUCCGUCGACGGCGUGCACUUCUCUCUUAGUAAUGCAUCGCGACCCGUUCGGGGUCGGCCUAAGCGCCUCUCGGGAGUCCGUCGGUGUGCGUCUCGGCGUACGCUGGCGUACCGGGUCGGGUUGCCGGCCGGCCCUAUCCUAUACACACGGACGGUACUAAUGAUGGAUAAUACGCUUCAAUGCGAACCGCGCACGCGUUUACGCGCGUCCGGCCCGACGCAAGCUGGCGUCCCGGUGCGCGUCCUGCCCGAGUGCGGACGUGCGUCGGUCGUUGCUGUUUGUCGCCGCCGUGCAGUCUCGGACUGUGCGCGUCUCUGUCUGCGAUGAUUCUGUUUCGGGCACUCGCAGGACCCGUCUUGAAACACGGACCAAGGAGUCUAGCAUGUGUGCGAGUCAUUGAGUUUGAUUCAAAAGACAAAACUGAAAGGCCCAACGAAAGUGAAGGCGUGCGCUAGUCGCACGCUCAGGGAGGAUGGAGCGUCGGUCUCGGUCGAUCUCUCGCACUCCCUAGGCGUCUCGUUUCCAAUCAGUGAAUGCGGGCGCGCUAUGAGCACAGAUGCUGGGACCCGAAAGAUGGUGAACUAUGCCUGGUCAGGUCGAAGUCAGGGGAAACCCUGAUGGAGGACCGUAGCGAUUCUGACGUGCAAAUCGAUCGUCGGAACUGGGUAUAGGGGCGAAAGACUAAUCGAACCAUC